rnacentral:rRNA from 1 species
GACGAACCGUGCGAACGUUAUUCGGAAUAACUGGGCUUAAAGGGAGCGUAGGCGGACUAUCAAGUCUGGGGUGAAAUCCCGCGGCUCAACCGUGGAACUGCCUCAGAUACUGACGGUCUCGAGGGAGAUAGGGGCAUGCGGAACUGUAGGUGGAGCGGUGAAAUGCGUUGAUAUCUACAGGAACUCCGGUGGCGAAAGCGGCGUGCUGGAUCUCUUCUGACGCUGAGGCUCGAAAGCUAGGGGAGCAAACGGG